rnacentral:misc_RNA from 1 species
AAAAUGCGAUACUUGGUGUGAAUUGCAGAAUCCCGUGAACCAUCGAGUUUUUGAACGCAAGUUGCGCCCGAAGCCAUCCGGCUGAGGGCACGCCUGCCUGGGCGUCACGCAUCGCGUCGCUCCCCACCAUACCUCCCCAACGGGUUGGCAUGGUGUUGGGGGCGGAUAAUGGCCUCCCGUGCUUGUGUUUCGGUUGGCCUAAAUAAGAGUUCCCUUCGGCGGACACACGACUAGUGGUGGUUGAAUAGACCCUCGUCUUUUGUUGCGUGUCGUGAGCUGUAGGGGUAGCCCUAAUCAAAGACCCCAUUGUAUCGUCUUCGGAUGAUGCUUCGACCGCGACCCCAGGUCAGGCGGGACUACCCGCUGAGUUUAAGC